rnacentral:rRNA from 1 species
UACGAAGGGGGCUAGCGUUGCUCGGAAUCACUGGGCGUAAAGCGCACGUAGGCGGCUUGUUAAGUCAGGGGUGAAAUCCUGGAGCUCAACUCCAGAACUGCCUUUGAUACUGGCGAUCUUGAGUCCGGGAGAGGUGAGUGGAACUGCGAGUGUAGAGGUGAAAUUCGUAGAUAUUCGCAAGAACACCAGUGGCGAAGGCGACUCACUGGCCCGGUACUGACGCUGAGGUGCGAAAGCGUGGGGAGCAAACAGG